rnacentral:rRNA from 1 species
GUAGGUGGCAAGCGUUGUCCGGAAUUAUUGGGCGUAAAGCGCGCGCAGGCGGUUCUUUAAGUCUGAUGUGAAAGCCCACGGCUCAACCGUGGAGGGUCAUUGGAAACUGGAGAACUUGAGUACAGGAGAGGAAAGCGGAAUUCCACGUGUAGCGGUGAAAUGCGUAGAGACGUGGAGGAACACCAGUGGCGAAGGCGGCUUUCUGGUCUGUAACUGACGCUGAGGCGCGAAAGCGUGGGGAGCAAACAGGGAUUAGAUACCCUGGUAGUCCACGCCGUAAACGAUGAGUGCUAAGUGUUAGGGGGUUUCCGCCCCCUUAGUGCUGCAGCUAACGCAUUAAGCACUCCGCCUGGGGAGUACGGCCGCAAGGCUG